rnacentral:rRNA from 1 species
UGGGGAAUAUUGCACAAUGGGGGAAACCCUGAUGCAGCGACGCCGCGUGAACGAAGAAGGUAUUCGUAUCGUAAAGUUCUGUCCUAUGGGAAGAUAAUGACAGUACCAUAGAAGAAAGCUCCGGCUAAAUACGUGCCAGCAGCCGCGGUAAUACGUAUGGAGCGAGCGUUGUCCGGAAUUAUUGGGCGUAAAGGGUACGCAGGCGGUUUAAUAAGUCGAAUGUUAAAGAUCGGGGCUCAACCCCGCAAAGCAUUGGAAACUGAUAAACUUGAGUAGUGGAGAGGGAAGUGGAAUUCCUAGUAUAGUGGUGAAAUACGUAGAUAUUAGGAGGAAUACCAGUAGCGAAGGCGACUUUCUGGACACAAACUGACGCUGAGGUACGAAAGCGUGGGGAGCAAACAGG